rnacentral:pre_miRNA from 1 species
AGGAUAAGAAGCUCUUAGAUUAGCCUCAGAAGACUUGCCCAUGAAGCCACAUGAAGGUUUGGAGAUGAUCAAAACCUUCGAGAGAGGUCACAGGCAAGUCAUCCUUGGCUAUCCAGGAUAAUGGACUCUUAUCA